rnacentral:rRNA from 1 species
CUUCCUACGGGGGGCAGCAGUGGGGGAUAUUGCACAAUGGAGGGAACUCUGAUGCAGCGACGCCGCGUGAGGGAAGAAGGUUUUCGGAUUGUAAACCUCUGUCUUCGGUGACGAAACGAGACGGUAGCCGAGGAGGAAGCCACGGCUAACUACGUGCCAGCAGCCGCGGUAAUACGUAGGUGGCAAGCGUUGUCCGGAAUAACUGGGCGUAAAGGAUGCGUAGGCGGUUAAACAAGUUAUAUGUUAAAUAUAUAAGCUUAACCUGUAGAAAGCAUAUAAAACUGUUUAACUAGAGUGCAGGAGAG